rnacentral:rRNA from 1 species
GACGAACGCUGGCGGCGUGCCUAAUACAUGCAAGUAGAACGCUAAAGGAGUAGCUUGCUCUUCUGGAUGAGUUGCGAACGGGUGAGGAACGCGUAUGUAACCUGCCUUAUAGCGUGGGAUAACUAUUGGAAACGAUAGCUAAUACCGCAUAACAGUCGAUGUUGCAUUGCAUUUUCUUAAAAGUUGCAAUUUCCGCACUACCAGAUGGCCCUGCGUUGUAUUAUCGAGGUGGUGGGGUAACGGCUCACCAAGGCGGCGAUACAGAUCCGGCCCGAGAGGGAGAUGCAGCCACAUGGGAAUGGGAAAAGGCCCCAAAUCCUUAGGGAGGCAGCAGGAGGGAAUCAUCGGCCAAAGAGGGAAGGCUGAAGGAGGAAAGCCGCGUGAGUGAAGAAGGUUUUCGGAUCGUAAAACUCUGUUGUAAGAGAAGAAAGAGUGUGAGAGUGGUAAGCUGACGCUGUGACGGUACCUUAAGAGAAAGGGACGGCUAACUUCGUG